rnacentral:rRNA from 1 species
AUUGAACGCUGGCGGCAGGCCUAACACAUGCAAGUCGAGCGAGCGUCGGACGGGUGAGUAAUGUAUGGGGACUGCCCGAUAGCGGGGGAUAACUACUGGAAACGGUGGCUAAUACCGCAUACUAUCGGAUAACCCAUAUGGGAUUAGCUAGUAGGUGGGUGAAAGGCGCCCGUAGGCGACGAUCUCUAGCUGGUCUGAGAUGAUGAUCAGCCGCACUGGGACUUAGCAACGGCCCAGACUCCUACGGAGGAAGCAGUGGGGAAUAUUGCACAAUGGGCGCAAGCCUAACGCAGCCAUGCCGCGUGGAUGAAGAAGGCCUUAGGGUUGUAAAGGACUUUCAGCGGGGAGGCGUUACCCGCAGAAGAAGCACCGGCUAACUCCGUGCCAGCCGCCGCGGUAAUAC